rnacentral:rRNA from 1 species
UACGACGGGGGCUAGCGUUGUUCGGAUUUACUGGGCGUAAAGCGCACGUAGGCGGAUCGAUCAGUCAGGGGUGAAAUCCCAGAGCUCAACUCUGGAACUGCCUUUGAUACUGUCGAUCUGGAGUAUGGAAGAGGUGAGUGGAAUUCCGAGUGUAGAGGUGAAAUUCGUAGAUAUUCGGAGGAACACCAGUGGCGAAGGCGGCUCACUGGUCCAUUACUGACGCUGAGGAGCGAAAGCGUGGGGAGCGAACAGG